rnacentral:rRNA from 1 species
GGGCCCGCACAAGCGGUGGAGUAUGUGGUUUAAUUCGAUGCAACGCGAAGAACCUUACCAGGGCUUAAAUGUAAGUUGCAUUAGUUAGAGAUAGCUAUUUCUUCGGACCACUUACAAGGUGCUGCAUGGUUGUCGUCAGCUCGUGCCGUGAGGUGUCAGGUUAAGUCCUAUAACGAGCGCAACCCCUGUUGUUAGUUGCCAGCGAGUCAUGUCGGGAACUCUAACAAGACUGCCGGUGCAAACCGUGAGGAAGGUGGGGAUGACGUCAAAUCAUCACGGCCCUUACGUCCUGGGCUACACACGUGCUACAAUGGUCGGUACAGAGAGCAGCCACUACGCGAGUAGGAGCGAAUCUUCAAAACCGGUCUCAGUUCGGAUCGCAGUCUGCAACUCGACUGCGUGAAGCUGGAAUCGCUAG